rnacentral:rRNA from 1 species
GAUGAACGCUAGCGGCAGGCCUAACACAUGCAAGUCGAGGGGCAGCACGGAUUGCUUGCAAUCUGGUGGCGACCGGCGCACGGGUGCGUAACGCGUAUACAACCUACCUUUUGGAGGGGAAUAGCCCAGAGAAAUUUGGAUUAAUACCCCAUAGUAUAUAGGAAUCUCCUGAUUUUUAUAUUUAAACAUUUAUGGCCAUUAGAUGGGUAUGCGUCCUAUUAGCUAGUUGGUGUGGUAACGGCACACCAAGGCUACGAUAGGUAGGGGUCCUGAGAGGGAGAUCCCCACACUGGUACUGAGACACGGACCAGACUCCUACGGGAGGCAGCAGUGAGGAAUAUUGGACAAUGGGCGAGAGCCUGAUCCAGCCAUGCCGCGUGCAGGAAGACUGCCCUAUGGGUCGUAAACUGCUUUUACAGAGGAAGAACCACCCCCACGUGUGGGGGUUUGACGGUACUCUGCGAAUAAGGAUCGGCUAACUCCGUG